rnacentral:rRNA from 1 species
UACGAAGGGGGCUAGCGUUGUUCGGAAUUACUGGGCGUAAAGCGCGCGCAGGCGGUUCUUCAAGUCAGUGGGGAAAGCCCGGAGCUCAACUCCGGAACUGCCAUUGAAACUGUAGAACUUGAGGAUGAGAGAGGUGAGUGGAAUUCCCAGUGUAGAGGUGAAAUUCGUAGAUAUUGGGAAGAACACCGCUAGCGAAGGCGGCUCACUGGCUCAUUUCUGACGCUCAGGCGCGACAGCGUGGGGAUCAAACAGG